CACAUUCUGUGACCUGGUGGCGGAAGGGUUGGUUUGGCCUUUGGCCUCCUGGAGUCCAGUGACUUGGAGGGGUUUCAUUUUCUCACUGACAACCAGCCAGAGACACAUGGGCUUGCAUGUCAGAGCCAAACAGAGCUGCAGAGCUCUCCUCGGCCUCUCAUGAGUCUCCUGGGCCACAUUCUCUGAAAGAAGUCUCCUGCCUGAUUUGGUAGGUCCCAGUUUAGCCUCCUUGAAGUUCCUGGACAAUGCACAGGUCUUGGCAGCCUCUCGCAAGCAGCCUUUGUUCAGGGACUGUGGACUCUCCAGCCGGAAGGUUACCCCACCUGAACAUCCUCCUGGGAGGAAGCAGGGCAUGAAUCCGAAGGAAUUAGUGAAGUCCUUCCAUAGCCAUCCUUGAUGGUGGAGCGGGGGUGUGUCUCAGCAAAAAGGGCUGAAGUAUAAGGUGCUGGGACCAGUUGUCAGUAAAGGCAGUAUGAUUCAAUGAAUCAAUUAAAUCAGGAUGGAGAAGGGAAGCAAAAAGUCCAAGCCAGAUAAGUGGAACUACCCAUGAAACUGGAGGGUGUGGUGAACAAAAGCAAAAUGAUUAGUCACAAGGUCAGGAGCAAGUGGCCCCAGGAUGAAGAAAGGUAGCUAGAUGGAGGAUGGUUCUCCUCAUUCCGCAGAUGAUGAACUUGAAACCAGUGACAGUGAGUGAGUUUCAGGUCACAUAACUAUGUAGGGCCAGGGCUUGAUUGUAAAUCUCAUUCUAGCUGUAACUCUUUCCAUUACAAUUUACUAGUAUUCAAACGAUAUGUAAAAAAUAAGCAAAUAAUGAAACACAGCAUUUUGCAAGACAUAAGGGUAAGAUUGUAACCACGUCUCUGCAAUUCUCGUGGAGACUUUGGUAUUUGCCCUUGGCCACCUCCUUUCCUACCCUUCUGGCCCUGAUUGGGCACUGGUGAAAAGGUGUCUGUGAGCAUCUACCACACUUGCCUCCCCCAUUACACAGACUGGCAUUCUCUCUAUGGCCACAGUCCUCAGGGUAAUUAAGGUUGUGGAGUAACAGGAAAUAUUUUAUUCAGUAAGAUUGUACUCAUUUGCUUAUUCAGUUGCUGAACUAUCUUCCAGGAAUACAUCAGAAGGUUUUACCAUUCUAUUUGCCUGCCUUAGUUGGGAGAUCUGAAGGAAAUGAGUUUAAUUCACCCUUCACAUUUCUAAUUAAAACUUUUUACAUUUCAAGCUUUUUGACAGGAAAAAAAAAAGAAAAAUUCUGUGGAAGGCAGCUUCGAGAAGACAUAAUCCAUGUGUGAUUGUUUGAGAGCAAGAAGGGUUAAAAAAGGCAACAACAAAAAACCUGCUCAUUUUUGCUGCUUGCUUAAGAAAAAAACAACUCAAGCCAUCUCCAAAUGUAGUUUAAUCCAUUUUCAGACUUUAUACAUUAUGCAUCAAGAUUUUGUACAAAAGGAAUUUGAGAGGAGUGUUUGCAUGAAACCACUUCAGUGGAUUAAAUUUGCAGUUCAGCACAUUAGACUCAAAAAGUAUACAAGACAUUUUGAGAGUCCCUGACUCCUUCCUUUAUAUGCAUAGUUCCUACUUCAGGUAAAUAAGUUUUUAAGAAUGAGUGGAUUCCAGCAGCUGUCUUUAAGGGAAAAAUUAAGAAAGGAUUUGGUCUACCUUCCACUUAGCUUCACAAUGAUUGCAAAUGUUUGAAGAACAGAAAGCCUAGUUGAGAAGGUGGAUCUAAGCUGUUCUAUGGACCUCGAGAUUCUUUUAGGCAAAGCUGCCCUAUCCAAGGUGGAAAAGCUAAUGUGAAAAGACAUUCUCAAUAGAAGGAGUUCACACAGCGAUGUCAUAACUGCAAACCCCACCCACCUUCAGUUCAGAGUUGAGAUGCCACUUGCGUAGGCCACCCAGAUGGUAAGCUCAGACAGUCAUCCAGAUGUCUUUAUCUAGUGGAGGCCAAACAUCACUGAGACCACAUCUGGAUGUUUAGUGGGCCAACGACAUUUUUAUUUCCUGCUGUUUAAAUAAUAGAUUUGGGGGAUCUUGGAAACGUAGUCUUUAUUUCCUCUUACCCCAGAGUUGCUCUGCUGCAGGAACACACUUUAUGACAAUCGGGUCAAAUCAGAAGCAGCCAGAGAGCCACCCGUUUCUGGGCUGUUAAUGAUGGGAGGUCCUAAACUGACAGGCGGAGUCUGACGUCUAAACAUCAUGACUGUUAUAAACCAGGAGGUGUCCAAACAACCUAUGGAGCACCUGAAAGUUUCUAUAAUAACUUGUAUUUUUUUUUUUCAAGUGUUGAAAACUUCCUAGCAGUGUGGCUGGUUGCCUGGGCUACAGUGUUGUGUUGACAGCUCUGGUCCUUUUCCUGGCAGCCGAGGAUCUGCACAGUGACCAAUGAGAGGGGAGCAUUCUGCUCUGAACUUUCCAUUAGGCUGAUGAUUCACUUUGAAAUCCACACUUUAUGAAUGCUGUGAAUUCAAUGUAAUGUAGCUGUUGAGGUGUCUACAUUCAAAUUUGAUUCCAUUAACUUUACGGUGUGAUUAAGUGUCUGAAUCAUCAGGACUUGGGAUUGAAUUUAUGUGCCUUCUGCGAGCCCUUUUGUAGACUGGUAGUUUUGAUGAGUGUAAUUUGAUGUAUGGGAUUGGGAGAAGAAACCUAAAAAGAUAUCACCUCAAAUAUAACAAGGAUCUGAGAACCCAAAUUUGAGCGUUGAGGUGGGUGGUCACUCUCAGAUGUGCAGAGUGGAGCUACUCUUCAGCAUGCACACUUUUUUCUUUAAAGAACUUGAUUUUUGGUGUUAGAAGGGACUUAGAGGUCCCUUCUAAGGGACCUCUAAAUUUGGCUUUCAAAUUUUAAAGUACUUAACUAUUAAUUAGGGUGCUUCUUAAAAAAAAAACGCCGAUUUCAGAUCGUGCCUUCUGAUUCUGAAGGGCUGGAAUGGGAUGCAGGAAUGGAAUUAUAGACCUCCCUGGGAGAAAUGCUGACUUAGUUGUUUUGCAUUUGGGAGAGUGAUGGGCCUCAUCCAUGGCCUUCCUCACAGCUAGUGGUAAGAGAGUCAAGCCCAGAACUGGAUCUCUAUAUGUUUCCUCAGGGGUCAUUCAUCACGUACUUAGUUCAUGCUCAUGCGAAUUGACAUUUAUGACAUGGAAAUUAUCGGUAGUAAGAAAGUGAAAAGAACAUGGAGUGGCAGAGAGUGUGGCAUAUUGCAGUUUAGCAAAAAUGAGUUCUGAAAUCUCAUUUGAAAAUUUUAAGUUCUCCUUAACACAUAGGGGUUAAAUGGGAGAUGCACAAUGCUUCACAUAUUUGAGUCAAUUUUAGGCAGUUGCUAAGAUAGCAGUGUACAAAAUAUUUUUACUUUUGCAUUUCCCUUUAUAGAUUUCUUUGGACUUAAAUACACUGAAAUUUUAAUUUAAAUUCUCCAUGUAUUUAAAUUCUCCAUGUAUUUAAAUUCCAGAAUUGAUGAAAUUAAACACUUUUUCAUUAUUGCUGACAAUUUGUACUUAUUCUUUAAUUCUUUGUGAAUCAUUUUUCAGAUCCUUUGUGAACUUCUCUACUGAGUUGCUGGCUUUUUUUUUCUGGUAUUGUUUUUAAAUAGAUGUUUUUUAUUAAAGUUAUUAACUCCAUGUCUGUCAUACAAUUCCCUGAAAGUGUUUUUCUGUUUUUUGUUUUAUGUUUAUUUAUGGUUACUUUUCUUUUAUAUGGAGCAGUUUAAAAUUUUUCUACAGAAACAUUAAAAUCCUUUUUUCUGUUCUCUGUGAUGAUGUUUCAUCAGUUUUAUUUGUUAAAGCUCUCCCUAUUACAAGAUCAGGAAAAUAAUUACUUAUACUUUUUUAUAGCUAUUUUGUAGUUCUAAUAUUUACUGCUUUCACUUGUUGGUAUGCUUUAUAAAAUAUAACAUACAAAAUAUAAAUAUAUAACAUAUAAACAUUAUUCCUCAAAUAGUUGUCCUAGCAUCAUUUCCUGUAUAUUACUUUCUAAUUGGUUUGUAAAAUACAUGAUAACUACCAUUUAUUAUAUACUUAGGUACAGUGCUAAAUAUAUUUAAUGAAUUGUUCAUUUUAAUGCAUAUAUAUUUUAUUUGCUUCUUACAACAACAUUCUAGCAGUUAUUUUAAAUCCCCUUUUACAGAUGAGCAAACAGAGGCUUAGAUAGCUCAAGUUGCUUAUCUAUUAAGAGGCAGAGCUGAGGGGUAACCUCAGGAUAGAGUGACUCCAAAACCCACAGACUCAGUCACCCAAAUCAGUUUUACCAUAAAACAAAUUCUUAGUGUUAAGGUCAUUUUAGGGUUUUGUAUUCUGUUUCAUUAACUGGGUUUCUAUUUUUUGCACUAAUAUCAUACUUUUAAGUAUUUUAGCUUUAUAAUGUUUUUAAAACUGAAAGUGUCACACCUUAUUACUCUUCAGCUUUUCAAAUAUUGAGCUCUCACUGGUUCAAUAUUCAUGUUCACCUCAGUCUAACAUCAGCAAAUACAAAAAUACUUCCUGAGAUUUUCAAUGGAGUUACUUUUAAAACUUGACAUCUUUCCUAUAUUUAA
rnacentral:lncRNA from 10 species